GGAAAGAUGGCUGAGUGGCUGAAGGCACGUCCCUGCUAAGGACGCGUACUCACUAAAAUGGGUACCGAGGGUUCAAAUCCCUCUCUUUCCG
rfam:Verrucomicrobia bacterium RIFCSPHIGHO2_12_FTLL_41_10 rifcsphigho2_12_scaffold_8460, whole genome shotgun sequence.